UACGUAGGGGGCGAGCGUUGUCCGGAUUUAUUGGGCGUAAAGAGCUCGUAGGCGGCUUGGCAAGUCGGGUGUGAAACCUCCAGGCUCAACCUGGAGACGCCACUCGAGACUGCUAUGGCUAGAGUCCGGUAGGGGACCACGGAAUUCCUGGUGUAGCGGUGAAAUGCGCAGAUAUCAGGAGGAACACCGGUGGCGAAGGCAGUGGUCUGGGCCGGCACUGACGCUGAGGAGCGAAAGCGUGGGUAGCAAACAGG
rnacentral:rRNA from 1 species